UACAGAGGGUGCGAGCGUUAAUCGGAAUUACUGGGCGUAAAGCGUGCGUAGAUGGUUAUGUAAGUCGGAUGUGAAAGCCCCGGGCUCAGCCUGGGAAUUGCAUUCGAGACUGCAUAGCUAGGAUGCGGAAGAGGGAAGCGGAAUUUCCGGUGUAGCGGUGAAAUGCGUAGAUAUCGGAAGGAACACCAGUGGCGAAAGCGGCUUCCUGGUCCAGCAUCGACGUUCAGGCACGAAAGCGUGGGGAGCAAACAGG
rnacentral:rRNA from 1 species